rnacentral:rRNA from 1 species
GGGUGCGAUCAUACCAGCACUAAUGCACCGGU